rnacentral:rRNA from 1 species
GAUGAACGCUGGCGGCGUGCCUAAUACAUGCAAGUCGAGCGAACAGACGUGGAGCUUGCUCCUCUGACGUUAGCGGCGGACGGGUGAGUAACACGUGGAUAACCUACCUAUAAGACUGGGAUAACUUCGGGAAACCGGAGCUAAUACCGGAUAAUAUAUUGAACCGCAUGGUUCAAUAGUGAAAGACGGUUUUGCUGUCACUUAUAGAUGGAUCCGCGCCGCAUUAGCUAGUUGGUAAGGUAACGGCUUACCAAGGCAACGAUGCGUAGCCGACCUGAGAGGGUGAUCGGCCACACUGGAACUGAGGCACGGUCCAGACUCCUACGGGAGGCAGCAGUAGGGAAUCUUCCGCAAUGGGCGAAAGCCUGACGGAGCAACGCCGCGUGAGUGAUGAAGGUCUUCGGAUCGUAAAACUCUGUUAUUAGGGAAGAACAAAUGUGUAAGUAACUAUGCACGUCUUGACGGUACCUAAUCAGAAAGCCACGGCUAACUACGUG